rnacentral:tRNA from 1 species
UGGCUCAGUUGGUAGAGCAUGGUGUUUGCAGCGCCAGCAUGGUGUGUGUGUGUGUGUGUGUAACGCCAGGGUUGUGGGUUCGAUUCCCAC